UACGUACGAGGCAAGCGUUAUCCGGAAUUAUUGGGCGUAAAGCGCGCGCAGGCGGCCUUUUAAGUCUGAUGUGAAAGCCCACGGCUCAACCGUGGAAGGUCAUUGGAAACUGGAAGGCUUGAGUACAGAAGAGGAAAGCGGAAUUCCACGUGUAGCGGUGAAAUGCGUAGAGAUGUGGAGGAACACCAGUGGCGAAGGCGGCUUUCUGGUCUGUAACUGACGCUGAGGCGCGAAAGCGUGGGGAGCAAACAGG
rnacentral:rRNA from 1 species